rnacentral:rRNA from 1 species
UACGUAGGGGCCGAGCGUUGUCCGGAGUUACUGGGCGUAAAGCGCGCGCAGGCGGCUCGUCAAGCCUGACGUGAAAGCCCCCGGCUCAACCGGGGAGGGUCGUCGGGGACUGGCGAGCUUGAGGUCGGCAGGGGCUGGUGGAAUUCCCGGUGUAGUGGUGAAAUGCGUAGAGAUCGGGAGGAACACCCGUGGCGAAGGCGGCCAGCUGGGCCGGACCUGACGCUGAGGCGCGAAGGCGUGGGGAGCGAAC